CUCGAUAACGACGGUUGUGUGGUUACUUACGCUCAUAGCUCAAAAACAGCUUACAGCUUACAACAUUUGAUAUUUGCCGUACGCUAGUUAUUUAGCUUUCGUUUAAUUACUGCGAUCCGAGUGAGGCGUAUUUUUAUCGAUAUUUUGUUUUUUGGCUGUUGUUUGCCUACGACGAUUUGACGAUUUUUAUUUUCCUGGCGUAAGGCAUUUACCAGCGAAGAAACUACAUACAUAUAAGUGCAGAGGAGCAAG